rnacentral:rRNA from 1 species
UACGGAGGGUGCGAGCGUUGUCCGGAAUCACUGGGCGUAAAGGGCGCGUAGGCGGCUCAUGAAGGCUGUGGUGAAAGUCCGGGGCUCAACCUCGGAUCGGCCGUGGCGACUCGUGGGCUGGAGCACUGUAGAGGCGGGUGGAAUUUCGGGUGUAGCGGUGGAAUGCGUAGAGAUCCGGAAGAACACCAGUGGCGAAGGCGGCCCGCUGGGCAGUGGCUGACGCUGAAGCGCGACAGCGUGGGGAGCAAACAGG